CGCAGCAGGUGCCUCAGGUCCGCAGAUAUAAGGACCCAGAACUCCAGCCCGCCAUGAGGACUGAGUAAACAUGACAAAGAUGGAUGGCGGGCUUAAUAUAGAAUAUUGAAGGGAGCGAGCGGCCUGGUAUAAGAUUGCAUAUUAGCAAAAGGAUCAUCAGCAGCUGAGUUUUGGAGCCUGAAGCAUUGGCCUUUUCAUGAGGUUUUUGGAAUGGAGCCCUGAAGUGCAGGUUAUAAACCUGGCAGCAGCACCUAAGCCCUGGUGGAACCUGUAUCUCCUAGAGGAUGAUCAGUUCUGGGGAUCAGUAACCGCCAUUGAUUUGGAUUCUAAAAACCUAAACAGCUUCAACAUUUGGAAACAUGGUCACCUUGUGUAUCAGGCUGUUCACAAGAGAUUAUUCAACAGGCCCAUUUGGUGUCAUUACCCCACCCAACAGGAAUUUCUAUACCUUUUAAUCAUUUUAUGUGUACACAUUGGUUGCCCUUAUAUUGGAAGGGUGAGAUCUUUAAGCCAAAAAUUGUUUCUCGCUUGAAUAUAAUGUCUGUAAUUACCU
rnacentral:lncRNA from 1 species